GACGAACGCUGGCGGCGUGCCUAAUACAUGCAAGUUGAGCGCUGAAGGUUGGUACUUGUACCAACUGGAUGAGCAGCGAACGGGUGAGUAACGCGUGGGGAAUCUGCCUUUGAGCGGGGGACAACAUUUGGAAACGAAUGCUAAUACCGCAUAAAAACUUUAAACACAAGUUUUAAGUUUGAAAGAUGCAAUUGCAUCACUCAAAGAUGAUCCCGCGUUGUAUUAGCUAGUUGGUGAGGUAAAGGCUCACCAAGGCGAUGAUACAUAGCCGACCUGAGAGGGUGAUCGGCCACAUUGGGACUGAGACACGGCCCAAACUCCUACGGGAGGCAGCAGUAGGGAAUCUUCGGCAAGGGACGAAAGUCUGACCGAGCAACGCCGCGUGAGGGAAGAGGGUUGUCGGAUCGUAAAACUCGGUUGGUAGAGAAGAACGUUGGUGAGAGUGGAAAGCUCAUCAAGUGACGGUAACUACCCAGAAAGGGACGGCUAACUACGUG
rnacentral:rRNA from 1 species